UUUUUGUUUGUGCGAAGGUGUCCGCCAUGAACAGUUUGUGAAUACCUUUGACGACGCAGGCUUGUGCUCUUCUCUUUAGGUUGGGGGGGGGGGGGUGGGGGCAAAAUCCUUGUUUGAACCCCCCUCCCUCAGUGGGUGUAAGACCAACAAGCUGCGAGCUCAAGAGGUUUCACAUCCUUUAUCUUCAACCUGUUCAGUUCUCCACAUGCGGCCCUGAGCAUGGAAGCAUUUUUUUCUGCCAAGCUAGUCGCUCAGUGCCUGGUCGAUGUGAUGGUGAACUCCACAGGGGGGCUGAACAGGCUAGUGGACAUAAAGGAAAGAGAGGACCACGCGGGGCGGGGGUCGCCUGAGAGUGAUCGGAGGCUCCAGAGGGGCCGAUGAGUCUUGUUUCUCGGCUGGGCGACUCUCGGAGGACACGGCGAGCUGAGACAACUCAUUUGCAUAUAAACUGGGAGAGGCAGGGAUUGUCAUCGGCGGCACAUUAGACGCAAGGAGCGCGAGGGGAGAGGAUUUUCAUGUGCAAAUUUCAGCCUCGCCAACUCUGUGCAUUAUUAUUUCAUCAGAGCCGAAGAAAAGGAAGCCCCUCCGAUCCCCAAAAACCGCGCCAUCAUCCCCACGGACACUUGGAGAGUCGGACCAAAUCCCCCGGCCGCGCCUCUCCCCCCAGAAGGCCCCGCUACUGAGUAGCUGUUUACAGCGGGGGGGCCCCGCGCAGCAGGAGGAGGAGUCAAUCUGCCUCCGAGAUAAGAGCCGAAACCACAGGAAAGAGGGAACAGAUAUACACCAGUUGUGACCAGCAGUAUUGGUGUUCCGUGCAUUAAUUGCUUGUAAACUGCGAGGCUGGAGGCUCGCCGGCUUUUAAGUUUAAAAAGGAGAUUACAGCCAAUUAGCGGGGCCUCUGAAAACCCCUCGCUGCCUGGGGAAUAGCGGCUGAUCCCUAAUGUGGGACAGCUGUGAGCAACAAAAGAACAGUCGCGGUCCUGCUUUUGAGAACGCACUCGCACGCGGAGCACUUUCAAAAAUACACACACACACACACACACACACACACACACACACACGUGUAUAAUCUCACAUGCAAACAGGAAAAUAGAAAAAAGGCCCAAUGGUAGCACUGGCUGCUAAGAAGCACUAUUACGAGCAUGAAAAAUGAAUGAGUGCAUAAAUGCGAGCGUCGCCAAACUGACAUGAAGUACGUUUGCAUGUUCCCAAAGUGACAAAGCGGGAACAGACGCGGAGGUAAAUAUGUUUUAAAAGGUGAGGGGGAAAACGUUUGUGGGUUGGGAAAACGUAUUUCCUCCCUUUAAAUCAAUUUGUCAGCUUCUUCUUAGAGACGCGUUAGCAAAAAAAAGAGCCGAGUGUUUCCCUGUAAACUGCCAUCUUUAAUUUCUUUGUCUGACGUGCUCCGCCGCACCACAACGCACACCAGAGACCGAGCAUGAGGUGAGCGAAAGGUUCAAAGCCCAGAUGGGAGCGCAGCCUGUGUACCCCUGAGCACGGUGGAUUACCUCAUUCACUCUCAUGUCAAACAGAAGGCAGGAAGAGGAGGAACACAAGUCAAAGGAUCUCCACAGGCUGCGUAAUCUACGACGAUUCGUGCCGAGCCCGCAGCGCGACUCCCGUCUUCCCCUCUAUCUCUUCUCGCUUUUUUUUCCCGCCUGUGUACCUUCUCUGUCAUGCUCGCUGUGCACCUGCACAUCUUCAACUGCACCCUGACAGCCCCCCCCAGCCCCCCCGCGCCCCUCGUACCCGCGCACACAUUAGCGUAAAACUGUUGUCAGCCAACUAGCAACUUCAGGAUGACGCCGCGUGGACAGAACAUGGAUUCCACGAGCUGUUUUUUGGUCUUCAAGUGUCAAAGAUAGCUUCAUGAUGGCAAAAUGUUUUGUUUUUGUUAAACCUGGUCUGCUUGUAAAGAAAACGUGUAACUUGUAACUUUGUAACCCAU
ensembl:lncRNA